rnacentral:rRNA from 2 species
UGCAGGUCGAGCGGACAGAUGGGAGCUUGCUCCCUGAUGUUAGCGGCGGACGGGUGAGUAACACGUGGGUAACCUGCCUGUAAGACUGGGAUAACUCCGGGAAACCGGGGCUAAUACCGGAUGCUUGAUUGAACCGCAUGGUUCAAUUAUAAAAGGUGGCUUUUAGCUACCACUUACAAAUGGACCCGCGGCGCAUUAGCUAGUUGGUGAGGUAACGGCUCACCAAGGCAACAAUGCGUAGCCAACCUGAGAGGGUGAUCGGCCACACUGGGACUGAAACACGGCCCAAACUCCUACGGGAGGCAGCAGUAGGGAAUCUUCCGCAAUGGACGAAAGUCUGACGGACCAACGCCGCGGGAGUGAUGAAGGUUUUCGGAUCGUAAAACUCUGUUGUUAGGGAAGAACAAGUACCGUUCGAAUAGGGCGGUACCUUGACGGUACCUAACCAGAAAGCCACGGCUAACUACUUGCCAGCAGCCGCGGAAAUACGUAGGUGGCAAGCGUUGUCCGGAAUUAUGGGGCGUAAAGCGCGCGCAGGCGGUUUCUUAAGUCUGAUGUGAAAGCCCCCGGCUCAACCGGGGAGGGUCAUUGGAAACUGGGGAACUUGAGUGCAAAA